GCAUUGGUGGUUCAGUGGUAGAAUUCUCAUUGCCACGCGGGAGACCCGGGUCCGAUUCGAUUCCCGGCCAAUGCA
rnacentral:tRNA from 1 species